AUGGUUCUCCGGUGCCUGGAGCUGGAUGCGGUGUUGGUGGUGUGGAGCCUUGACCGGGAGAAAUCCAUGGCGGCGAUGUCCAUGGACGCUGCUCCCCUUCUUGGAGGCGCCAUUCAGGUCUUUUGCUCCAUCCCCCCCCCCCUAGCCUCCCAGGUGAAAACUCGAACUUUGUUGGGCGGCGACGGUGCUCUUGGCGCCGUUUGCUUCUUGAAGUCGUCGCCUUGGAUGCUUUUUGGACUGUGGGCACUGCGGUGUGGUUGUUGUCGGGCGGCGGCGACAGCGUGUCCCCAGUGGCAACGGCGGCAGCUUUGCAGGUCCGGCAGUGUUCGGGUUUCUUCUGGUGCUCUCUGUUCAACUGGUGUCAGUUUGGUCCGGCGGCUUCUGGCCAGGAGGGGAUCGGGUUCCCCUCCUCCGACGGCUACAGCAGUGCGAGUUGUGAGAGCCGGAGCGUCAUUCCUCGACCUUGGUCCUGCCUCCUCGUUGCUCCUUCCUCCCUGGACACCCUGUUGUUGUCUGACCGGCAUCUUUCUCCUCUCCAGAGGAUCGUCAGUGGGCAGCGGUGAUGCAGUGUUUCUGGUGAAGUUUCUUAGUCAUGUAGGGUGUGCUCUGUUCCUACUCCUUCGUUGCCUUCUGGUUGCAUCCUUCCGUCCAUGUUCUAGGGUGAGCAGCCCAUAUGUUGACGGUUCGGCGCCUUUCGAGCCAGGCGAGGAGGCAGGGGCCUCCUUCGACAGUGGGAAUGGAUGGUGUUGUUGUUCCAGGGCCUUGGUUGUUUGGUGCCGACAUAUCCUAUCCUCGACAGCGGGCGCUUCCCGGGGCCCCAUAUCUUCUUCGCUGGUGAUCCUUGUGUGGACGAGGGCCUCUGCGUGCUUCAGCCUGUGCUUAUCAUGUGCUAUCUUACUAGCUGUAGUGUGUGAGGUUUUGGGAGCUGCCUACCAGCACCCUUGUAUCAUGCCGUGUUUCUGUUUUUUUUUUUUGUUGUUCGAGUUUGUAUUGAUGUGGUUAUAA
rnacentral:rRNA from 1 species